rnacentral:rRNA from 1 species
UACGUAGGGGCGAGCGUUGUCCGGAUUUACUGGGCGUAAAGGGAGCGUAGGCGGACUUUUAAGUGAGAUGUGAAAUACCCGGGCUCAACUUGGGUGCUGCAUUUCAAACUGGAAGUCUAGAGUGCAGGAGAGGAGAAGGGAAUUCCUAGUGUAGCGGUGAAAUGCGUAGAGAUUAGGAAGAACACCAGUGGCGAAGGCGCUUCUCUGGACUGUAACUGACGCUGAGGCUCGAAAGCGUGGGGAGCAAACAGGAUUAGAUACCCCCGUAGUCCCUGA